rnacentral:rRNA from 1 species
UACGAAGGGGGCUAGCGUUGCUCGGAAUCACUGGGCGUAAAGGGUGCGUAGGCGGGUCUUUAAGUCAGGGGUGAAAUCCUGGAGCUCAACUCCAGAACUGCCUUUGAUACUGAGGAUCUUGAGUACGGGAGAGGUGAGUGGAACUGCGAGUGUAGAGGUGAAAUUCGUAGAUAUUCGCAAGAACACCAGUGGCGAAGGCGGCUCACUGGCCCGUAACUCACGCUGAGGCACGAAAGCGUGGGGAGCAAACGGG